rnacentral:rRNA from 1 species
CCCUACGGGGGGCAGCAGUAGGGAAUCUUCCACAAUGGGCGAAAGCCUGAUGGAGCAACGCCGCGUGGGUGAAGAAGGUCUUCGGAUCGUAAAACCCUGUUGUUAGAGAAGAAAGUGCGUGAGAGUAACUGUCCACGUUUCGACGGUAUCUAACCAGAAAGCCACGGCUAACUACGUGCCAGCAGCCGCGGUAAUACGUAGGUGGCAAGCGUUAUCCGGAUUUAUUGGGCGUAAAGGGAACGCAGGCGGUCUUUUAAGUCUGAUGUGAAAGCCUUCGGCUUAAACGGAGUAGUGCAUUGGAAACU